rnacentral:ncRNA from 2 species
AGGAAGCCGGUGCAAAGCCGGCACAGCCCCGCUACGGUAAGGAGGACGACGUGCGGACGAUCGCCACGGGGGGACCCCUGGAAGGCCCGCACGGAGGAGGAUUCCAAGUCCGGAUACU